AACUUUCAACAACGGAUCUCUUGGCUCUCGCAUCGAUGAAGAACGCAGCGAAAUGCGAUAAGUAAUGUGAAUUGCAGAAUUCAGUGAAUCAUCGAAUCUUUGAACGCACCUUGCGCUCCUUGGUAUUCCGAGGAGCAUGCCUGUUUGAGUGUC
rnacentral:rRNA from 16 species